rnacentral:rRNA from 1 species
UUCGGUACAUCGGUGACAGGUGGUGCAUGUGUCGUCAGCUCGUGUCGUGAGAUGUUGGUUAAGUCCCGCAACGAGCGCCAACCCUAUUGUUAGUUGCCAUCAUUCAGUUGGCACUCUAGCGAGACUCCGGUAAUAAACCGGAGGAAGGUGGGAUGACGUCAAAUCAUCAUGCCCCUUAUGACCUGGGCUACACACGUGCUACAAUGGUUGGUACAACGAGUUGCGAGUCGGUGACGGCGAGCUAAUCUCUUAAAGCCAAUCUCAGUUCGGAUUGUAGGCUGCAACUCGCCUACAUGAAGUCGGAAUCGCUAGUAAUCGCGGAUCAGCACGCCGCGGUGAAUACGUUCCCGGGCCUU